AGGACGAACGCUGGCGGCGUGCUUAACACAUGCAAGUGGAGCGACGAACCAGGGCUUGCCCUGGGGCAGAGCCGCGAACGGGUGAGUAACACGUGGGUUACCUGCCUCGAUGACCGGGACAACCCGAGGAAACUCGGGCUAAUACCGGAUGUGCCCGCAAGGGGAAAGGAAGCUUCGGCCUCCGCAUCGAGAUGGGCCCGCGGCCCAUUAGCUUGUUGGUGAGGUAACGGCUCACCAAGGCUUCGAUGGGUAGCUGGUCUGAGAGGACGAUCAGCCACACUGGGACUGAGACACGGCCCAGACUCCUACGGGAGGCAGCAGUGGGGAAUCUUGCGCAAUGCGCGAAAGCGUGACGCAGCAACGCCGCGUGGGGAAGAAGGCUUUCGGGUGUAAACCCCUUUCAGUUGGGACGAAGCUUCGUCGGUGAAUAGCCGGCCGGAGUGACGGUACCUUCACAAGAAGCACCGGCUAACUACGUGCCAGCAGCCGCGGU
rnacentral:rRNA from 1 species